GACGAACGCUGGCGGCGGGCUUAACACAUGCAAGUCGAACGGAAAGGCCCUGCUUUUGUGGGGUGCUCGAGUGGCGAACGGGUGUGUAACACGUGAGUAACCUGCCCUGGACUUUGGGAUAUCUUCAGGAAACUGGGGCUAAUACCGGAUAGGAGCUCCUGCUGCAUGGUGGGGGUUGGAAAGUUUCGGCGGUUGGGGAUGGACUCGCGGGUUAUCAGCUGGUUGGUGGGGGAGUGGCUUACCAAGGCUUUGAAGGGUAGGCGGCAUGAGAGGGUGACCGGCCACAUUGGGACUGAGAUACGGCCCAGAGUGCUACGGGAGGCAGAAGUGGGGAAUAUUGCACAAUGGGCGGAAGCCUGAUGCAGCAACGCCGCGUGCGGGAUGACGGCCUUCGGGUUGUAAACCGCUUUCGCCUGUGACGAAGCGUGAGUGACGGUAAUGGGUAAAGAAGCACCGGCUAACUACGUG
rnacentral:rRNA from 1 species